UUUCAGAUGGACUUGUAGAAAACGUAAACGUAAAAUACGAGACACUGGAUAGAACGCAACUUACUGAUGAUCACAUGUACGACUCACCAAACGUCCAUGGAUCGGGAGAUACAGAUACUGCUGGAUGCGGAAAUUACGUGAACGUUUUACCGUGAAAAAUGUUGAACAACAUGCUGAUGUCUUUGAAGAAGAAAACACAUCAUAAAGGAUAUAAUAUUAUGAAGAUUCGACGUGGAUUAUAUAUUUUUUGUGCCUUUUUUACUUUCUGUUUUUGUAUUUUGAUAUAAAUAACUUCAAUAAAAUAUUAUAUAGUGUACUGCGAUAUAUGCGUUACAAAAUUUAACAUGAACCCUUUAUAAAAGUUUCACUGCUUUUGAUUAACUCACUUUAAAGAGUCACAUUUACAAGCCUAGGAAAUAAUAACACGUAUAUAUGGAAAACACAACUUUCAUCUUUAAUGUUUAAAAGCAAUCAAUAAAGAUCGAUUUCUUUCUUUCUGUUUGUUUAUGUUAUUCUUGAUUGAUAUAAAAUCCAUAUUGGAAAUCUGUAGAUAAUACAUUUUCGAUGUCCUUCAGCGUCUAAAAUAUUCCC